GGCUUGUUAUACCUAAAUUCUAUCAGAAUUGGUAAAUUUUGCAAAUGAAUUCUAUAAGGGUAUGGGGUUUUGAAAUUUUUUACAAAAGCUUCGUAACAUAAUAAAUAUUUAUGUGUUAAAAUGUGAGAUACCAUAUAUGAAUAUUCUUUACGGAAUUCAGUUGCAAAUGAAAUGAAUCCAUAUUAAUGUGAUUCCAAAUACAUUAGGGAAUAUGAAUUUCAUAUAGAAAACCACUUAACAAUAACUUUGAAUUGAGAAUAGAAUUAUCACCAUAUAUUGUCUUUGUGUGAACGUUCA
rnacentral:misc_RNA from 1 species